CGAGGAGCUGCCGCUCCGCCCGCAGCGACCCCGCCGCCGCCGCCUCUAGCGCAGCCCGCCCGCCCCGCCUCCCCGGCGCCGAGUGACCGCAAGGACUCGACGGAGGUUGCAGGCUCGAACUCGGACGAGGCUAGCAUACCACAGCCGCGGCGGGAAGGGACGAGGCCCGGCGGCGGGCCUGGCAUCCGCUGCCCACCAACCGGGGGCCCCUGGUCGGCCGGAGCUGGGCAGAGCGAGACCUGGCCGGCGGGAGCAGGGAAUAGUGGAAAGUGUUUUGGAAAUGAAAUAGUCUACAGUUAUGAAAGUACAAUGUAUGUGUGUCCACACCUAGGAACAAAUCAAAGUGGAAGGCUUAGAUGCUAUUCUGGUGGUACAGCUGUCCCUGAGACACAACCUCAUGAGGCUGAAGAACACAGUGAGGAAGAAGGGCCUCAGAUAAUGAGGAAAAAAACUUUUUAAAUGCCCUUGAUGUGCUUUACAUCUUCAGUGGUCAAGAUACAGAAUAAGAGAUGGCUGAAUGGAAGCUAGAACACAGCAGAUAGCUGGUUGGUGACAACCUAACAGACAUGAGAGAAGAUACAUGUGAGAUGAAAAUCAUCUUCUACAGCAGCAGUCCCAGGUGGACUGUUGUGAUUUACAGAGCAAUCAAGACUGUAGGAACCAGUGACUGACACCCUGCCACUGACCUGAUCUUUGUCUCUAAGAGCAACUGGCAGCAGAAAAGAAGGUAGUUUGUUACUCUGGAACAGCCUUUGAACAUAUAUUACUGUUCUCAAAGAUACCCAGGAUCAUUCUUCUCCUCAUGUAAUAUUUGGUGCCUGAAAGUGAAGUUUUCCAGAGAGGACAGUCAACUCGUAGAGAUAUAAAGGAGAAGAACGGCUGCUAUGAUGUGACUUUUGGUAAUGAGCAUGUUUACUGCCAGCACCUGCAUGAGAAAGUGAUGUGUCAUUGUGGAUCUAAUGAAAUACCUUACAAUAUUUUGUGUAUCUUUAACUCCUAUGUCAUGGAUUACAUGGAUGUAUCAUCUUCCAUUCAAAGUUUCCAGCUACAAAUAAAAGCUUGUGAUUUUGAACCUUAAAACCUUAGGUCAGAGGGCAAGUAAAAAGUACUGUAUUUGAAAUUAAGUUUUAAUUUUUACAAUUAUAUGUCAGUACAAAUAAUUGUUAGCAUUAUUGCUUCCACCUUUACAUUUAGUUAGUUUUCAAAUCAAUGCUUAUCCCUGUUGCAGCUGUACUAACUGGUACUGAGUACCAGUACUGGUUAAAAAGUAACGCUUCAAAAAAAACAACAAUA